rnacentral:rRNA from 1 species
GAGUUUGAUCCUGGCUCAGGAUGAACGCUAGCGGCAGGCCUAACACAUGCAAGUCGAGGGGUAACAUAGAAAAGCUUGCUUUUCUGAUGACGACCGGCGCACGGGUGCGUAACGCGUAUACAAUCUGCCUUAUACUGGGGUAUAGCCUUUAGAAAUGAAGAUUAAUCCCCCAUAGCCUCUUUUAAUGGCAUCAUUAUAAGAGUAAAGGUUACGGUAUAAGAUGAGUAUGCGUUCUAUUAGUUUGUUGGUGAGGUAACGGCUCACCAAGACUGCGAUAGAUAGGGGCCCUGAGAGGGGGAUCCCCCACACUGGUACUGAGACACGGACCAGACUCCUACGGGAGGCAGCAGUGAGGAAUAUUGGACAAUGGAGGCAACUCUGAUCCAGCCAUGCCGCGUGCAGGAAGACUGCCCUAUGGGUUGUAAACUGCUUUUAUACAGGAAGAAACCUUGGUACGUGUACCAAGCUGACGGUACUGUAAGAAUAAGGAUCGGCUAACUCCGUGCCAGCAGCCGCGGUAAUACGGAGGAUCCAAGCGUUAUCCGGAAUCAUUGGGAUUAAAGGGUCCGUAGGUGGAUAAUUAAGUCAGAGGUGAAAUCUUGCAGCUCAACUGUAAAAUUGCCUUUGAUACUGGUUAUCUUGAGUCAUUAUGAAGUAGUUAGAAUAUGUAGUGUAGCGGUGAAAUGCAUAGAUAUUACAUAGAAUACCAAUUGCGAAGGCAGAUUACUAAUAAUGUACUGACACUGAUGGACGAAAGCGUGGGUAGCGAACAGGAUUAGAUACCCUGGUAGUCCACGCCGUAAACGAUGGUUACUAGCUGUGUGGACUUCGGUCUGCGUGGCUAAGCGAGAGUGAUAAGUAACCCACCUGGGGAGUACGUUCGCAAGAAUGAAACUCAAAGGAAUUGACGGGGGCCCGCACAAGCGGUGGAGCAUGUGGUUUAAUUCGAUGAUACGCGAGGAACCUUACCAGGGCUUAAAUGUAAGUUGCAUUAGCUAGAGAUAGCUAUUUCUUCGGACCACUUACAAGGUGCUGCAUGGUUGUCGUCAGCUCGUGCCGUGAGGUGUCAGGUUAAGUCCUAUAACGAGCGCAACCCCUGUUGUUAGAUGCCAGCGAGUCAUGUCGGGAACUCUAACAAGACUGCCGGUGCAAACCGUGAGGAAGGUGGGGAUGACGUCAAAUCAUCACGGCCCUUACGUCCUGGGCUACACACGUGCUACAAUGGUCGGUACAGAGAGCAGCCACUGCGCGAGCAGGAGCGAAUCUAUAAAACCGAUCACAGUUCGGAUCGGAGUCUGCAACUCGACUCCGUGAAGCUGGAAUCGCUAGUAAUCGGAUAUCAGCCAUGAUCCGGUGAAUACGUUCCCGGGCCUUGUACUCACCGCCCGUC